GACGAACGCUGGCGGCGUGCUUAACACAUGCAAGUCGAACGGAAAGGCCCUGCUGUUGUGGGGUGCUCGAGUGGCGAACGGGUGAGUAACACAUGAGUAACCUGCCCUUGACUUUGGGAUAACUUCAGGAAACUGGGGCUAAUACCGGAUAGGAGCUCCUGCUGCAUGGUGGGGGUUGGAAAGUUUCGGCGGUUGGGGAUGGACUCGCGGCUUAUCAGCUUGUUGGUGGGGUAGUGGCUUACCAAGGCUUUGACGGGUAGCCGGCCUGAGAGGGUGACCGGCUCAGUCGCGACUGAGAUAAGACCCAGACUAAUCCGGGAGGCAGCGGUGCGGAAUAUUGUACAAUGCGCGGAAGGCUGAUGCAGCCACGCCGCGUGCGGGAUGACGGCCUUCGGGUUGUAAACCGCUUUCGCCUGUCACGUAGCGUGAAUGACGGUAAUGGGUAAAGAAGCACCGGCUAACUACGUG
rnacentral:rRNA from 1 species